UACGGAGGGUGCAAGCGUUAUCCGGAUUCACUGGGUUUAAAGGGUGCGUAGGUGGUUGGGUAAGUCUGAUGUGAAAUCUCCGGGCUCAACCCGGAAAUGGCAUUGGAUACUAUUCGGCUAGAGGUUUGGAGGGGGGACUGGAAUUCUCGGUGUAGCAGUGAAAUGCGUAGAUAUCGAGAGGAACACCAGUGGCGAAGGCGAGUCCCUGGACAACACCUGACACUGAGGCACGAAAGCUAGGGGAGCAAACAGG
rnacentral:rRNA from 1 species